UGUAGGCUCAGGUCGUCAGCAUUGCGGCCACCUGACUGGCCUUCCCCGCCCGGUCUUGGCAGCCUUCCAGCUAAAUCAGAGCUUAUCAACAGUGCCUGAUUAUAGGAAUCAGCUGUAGAGCUGAUUAAAAGUGUGGGUUACAGGUUUAUCCCUUAAAGGCUUUGAUUCAGCACUUCUGGGUCGGGGCUUUGGAAUCACGCGCUGCUACGUCCGCCUUGAACAGUGUGAAGGGGGGGCGGAGAACAGCUGCUGCAGAAACAAAAGGAGGCACAGGACUGCUCGUUACCCAGCCAGUGGAAGAGCAGGAUUUCAAUCCAGGUUUCCCGAAUCCAAGUCCUGUGUAUUUCACCUAAGUGGGAAGAGUUCACCACCACGAGGAUGUGUUUUCACUGGCCUCCUGGGAUCCGAGAGGAACAUAAAGAUGUGGAGAAGACAUCCCCCUCUUAGCAACGUCCAGUCUAGGGGAACUUUCCCUAGGAGACCCUCGAGACAGACCGGCCCAGGACUGUACAUAAUUGAAGCGUGGCUCCCAGUGGCAUCAGAGUUCAGGCUGAGUGUGGGUGGAGGGCCAGGUGGCCCUGCUGCUGACGGGAGAACACGCAUGGGCCUAGAAACAAAGUCUCCCUCCCCCAGUCCCCUAUGCCCACAUGGAAGGGACCAGCCUGUGUCCUGCUCAUCCGCGCUUCAUUGCAGCCCAUGCUCCUUAUGUCAUUGGUAUCAGAGUUGUCCUCUUCCCUUUGCUCUCACUGGCACCCCCUGCCCUCCCCACCUUGCUCACUGGUUGGGAAGAUUCCCUCGAACUCCUGGCAGAAUCCAGUGCCUUAGGCACAGCGGUGACGUCAUGUUGGCCUGCAUCUGGACUCUGCUGUGUGGCCCAGGCAGAAGUUCAGCCUGGUGGUUGGGAUGCCCACAUUUCCCACCUGGGUUCAAAUCCUGGAUCAGGCUCCUGACUCCAGCUUCCUGCCAAAGUAGAGCCCGAGUGGCAAUGGUGAUGGCUCAGCUAGUGGGUCCCUGCCACCUACAUGGGAGACUGGGACUGAGUUCCUGGCUCCUGGUUUGGCUUGGGCUAACUCCAGUUGUGUAGGCAUUUGGAGAGUGAACCAUGGGAUGGGAGAUCUCUGUCUAUCUGCUUCUUGAAUAAAAAAAUAGUAGGAUGUGUGGGCCUGAGCGUCCAAGUCCUCCUGUAAACUGAAGACAAUAAUCCUCCCUCACAGGGCUGCUUUCAGGAUUAAAUAAACUAUGCAUGGAUAAAUGGCCCAGGGCAGGUAUGAGGGGUUCUUGGCAAAGUUUGUGACAGAUCAAUGGUAUGAAAAAAACUAUGCAUGGGUUUUGAAAUUUUUUGCACCAAAAUAAAUGUAUUUUUCAUUCCAUUUUCUAUGAACUUUUUGAAGUGCCUCCCAAACACGAGGGCCAAAAAUCCUGUCUGGGAAGGCAGAAGAGUGCCGGCACCCACACCGUGGCUCGGGGAUCACACUGGGCUUGCUCCCUGAUCUCCAGGGUUCCCCCGGAGGGUUGCAUUCAACAGGAAGUGUUGACCCAGUGGUACUAGUGUUGUCGUCGUGGCAACCGUGGCUGAGUCAAGGCCACAGAAAUCCUACCUCUCAGUGACUUCGGGCAAGAACCUUGUACUGACCGAGGAAGAUGACAAAGCAAGUAGAAAAUGAUGACUCACCCCUGCCGAGUCUGCACGGGGUUCACCACCCUGCAUAAAGGUGUCUGCAGGCAGGAAACAUGCUGGGUAAUAGGACCCCAGAGCCCUGACAGGACUGAUUUUUCUUGAGGCACCCUCUGGAUCCCACACGCCACAUCCUGUCCUCCUAAGAAUUCACACCGUGCCAGGAGCUCAUCACAUAGCAGGAACAGAGUGGCUAGACCUGGGGCAGCUGGCGUUCUGACGUGCUUUGUUUGCAAGCCUUGAACACCAGUAGCAGCUCUGGCUGGCCCUGGCCCCUCCACGGGCUGCAGGCAGCUCAGAGCCUGGGGACAAAGGAGUUCUCCUUGCCUGCUUAUUAGCAUGAGGGCAGCAGAGGUGAAAGUUUGCUGUGCUGAUUAUCUUUCUGUUUGCUGAUGCCCAGCAGAACCUCAUCGGGGAGCCCCGAGGGCGGCUGUGUGAGAUUGAAAAAGGAAGGAGGUUUACUGAUAUAAGGCCCCUUCCACAGAAUUUGUAAUCAGGGUGCUGAGGGCCAUGGAAUUUGUAAUCAGAUGCGGAGGGGCCAGCCAUGUCAUGGUGUUAACAACAGAAGAAGUUCACAGGAGCCAGCACUGUGGGGCAGCAGGCUAAGCUGCUGCUUGGGAAGCUGGCCUUGCAUAGUGGAGUGCCGGCUGAAGUCCUGGCUGUUCCGCCUUUGCUCCAGGUUCCUAUUAAUGUGCCUGGGAAUGCAGUGCGGAUGGCCCGAGCCCCUGCAGCUCGUGUGGUAUACCGUGAUGGAGUUCCAGGCUCCUGGCUUCU